UCAUCAUCAUCAUCAUUAUUAUGUAUAGGCUGGAUGGUCAUCUGUUGGGAGUGGUUGAAUUGUGUCCUCCAUGGCAGAAUUGGGUUGGACUGGAUGGCCUUUAGGGGUCUCUCCUAACUGUAUGAUUCUAUAAUAUUUCUCCUCCCCCCAAAGACCCCCCAUUCCCCUUUACAUUGGCCCCUAUUUCCAUUCAGUCCAAGGACACCCACACUGUUUUGUCAGCCUGAAAGACUUACCCCAAUUUCUCCUCAGCGCCUCUGAAUAGUUUUGCGGCCUAGUUGAGGCCUAGUCGCAUCUUCCCACAGGGCUGACAGGCCGAGUAGAGAAAGAAGGCCUGAGGGGCUCUCUCCUCGCCGCCUUCCCCGGCCCCGCUCCCGGCCAGGCGUCGGAGGGUGGCGGCAGCGGUGGGGGGCUCCGUACAGCCUCGCUGCUCCCUCCUCCCCCGGUGCCAUCCCCGAUCCAGCACCACCUUACUUAAGAGGCAUCCUGGAACUCUUUCAUUUGCUUGUUAUAGAACUCCACUCAAAACAGAGCCAAAGCUACUAAUAAGAAUCGUUAUAAAGCAUAAUAAGAUAAAGACAGACAUAACACCCGAAGAAGUGACAACGAAACAAGGGGAACAACCCGGGAGACCUUGUUGUGUACCAGUCUUGGCGUUGCAUAUCAAACGAAGAAUUUCUUUGAAUAUAGAAACUGCUAUCUUGGAGACUGAAUUUCUUUACUACAGUUGACAUUGGCCCAAGAUUUCACGCAGCUCCAGGAAUAAUAUGGACUUGGUUGUCUCUUUAUGUCUGUUAUUUACUCCUUGAACAUUAUACCCUUUGUUGGAUUAUUACAUGGAAAUUGUAACUUUACUUUUGAUAUUCUGAAAGUAAUUUCUUUAUAUGUAAUAUAGUUUGAAGUAACUUACUCUCAGGUAAAGUUGUAGAAACCAGAUUUGUGUUACAUUUCUUGUGAGUUACACAAGAGUUUAUAUACACAUACAUUAUUGUUCUGUGUUGUUAUAGAUAUUUGUGUAUUACCCAUUUUGUUGUAGGAACCUAGCGGCAAGGUCAUUGGGCUUUGUUGCCAAGUUUCGUGGUUCUGUGGCUUUUAGUUUUGUUGCUUACUUCUAGGCCAAAAGUUCAUUACAUUUAUAUAUAUAUAGAUAUAAUAAUAAUAAUAAUCCUUAAGUUGGUAAGACCUGAGCAGGGCCGCUGAUGACUAGGUCCCUGGGAGGUUUUUCAUUCAUAACUUGAAGUGAAUGGUGGCAAAUAACAAUAAAUUUUAGUUCAUUUGAAAA